GGGUUAGCAGUCUAGACGCGGCUUAGUUGGGUCAUACACAAGGCUGAAAUAAAGGAUUUUGCCUGAGCUAAGAUCUCCUCUGAUGCUUAAUGGGAAAAGAAACAGCAAUGGAAUAAUAAAAACAUUUUGAUCUAAUACAGAAAGAAAAGAAUAGUGGACAAGAACAAGAGAGGUCAACAUUUUUUUUGGAAGAUGGAAAGAGGAGCAUGAAUGUAAUAAUUAAAUAAUCGACACAGCAGAACAGGGAAUGAAAGUACAUGCCUGCAGAGGAGAAGCUAAUUAAAAGCCAGCCGCUUUGCCUUACAGAAACUAAGAAGGAAAUCAUUGCAGGAGGAGCCAAAGGAGCUCUUAGAUGAGGAGCUUAAUUUUGAGAAAAGAAAUCUGGACUGUAAGAAACAUGGAAUCAGACACACAAUAGAAUAGAAGGAAUUCCAAGAAUAAAGAUAAACGAGCAUUCCCAUAUGGAAGAUUUCAACAUGAGAAGCAAGCAACGUGGCUAAAAUGGAUUGGCAGAAUGGAGAGUUUCAAGAGGUAGCUGUUGUGGAGAAAAGUGUCGUUGAUAGAUUAUCUGAUGCAUUUUACAGAUUGAAAAUAGUAUUGAAAGCAGUUGUAUCAGUUAAGAAGCGGCAGGCUGUACAUAAUUUAAAAAAGCCCAGCAAACAACAGCUUUAAGUA